UGGGGAAUUUUGGACAAUGGGCGAAAGCCUGAUCCAGCAAUGCCGCGUGUGUGAAGAAGGCCUUCGGGUUGUAAAGCACUUUUGUCCGGAAAGAAAUCCUUGGCUCUAAUACAGUCGGGGGAUGACGGUACCGGAAGAAUAAGCACCGGCUAACUACGUGCCAGCAGCCGCGGUAAUACGUAGGGUGCAAGCGUUAAUCGGAAUUACUGGGCGUAAAGCGUGCGCAGGCGGUUUGCUAAGACCGAUGUGAAAUCCCCGGGCUCAACCUGGGAACUGCAUUGGUGACUGGCAGGCUAGAGUAUGGCAGAGGGGGGUAGAAUUCCACGUGUAGCAGUGAAAUGCGUAGAGAUGUGGAGGAAUACCGAUGGCGAAGGCAGCCCCCUGGGCCAAAUACUGACGCUCAUGCACGAAAAGCGUGGGGAGCAAAACAGGAUUAGAUACCCUGGUAGUCCACGCCCUAAAACGAUGUCAACUAGUUGUUGGGGAUUCAUUUCCUUAGUAACGUACUAAACGCGUGAAGUUGACCGCCUGGGGAGUACGGUCGCAAAGAUUAAAAACUUAAAUGAAUUGACGGGGUCAUAGCUGUUUCCU
rnacentral:rRNA from 1 species